AAUUCCUAGUUAGAUUCGGCUAGCAAAACAGGAGAGUGGGGGAAAUAAGUUUCAGUUAGUCUAGCUUUUGAUUUUGCAUUUGGCUAUAUGUACUUGAGACUUCAUUUGAGCAAAGAUGUUUAGUGUACCCAGAGUAGACUGGUGCCAGUCAUGGGGUCCUGGCUCUUACUAAAACCCCAGUAUCUCAGCCAAUUUGUGUCAGAAAUGCUUGAUUCUUUGCACUUCGAUUCUACUUAAUGUGCUCUACAAUAUGAGCAUACCAGUUUUGUUACCACGGCAACAUACUGUGUUCCAGACCUCUCUGGUAAUUAAGGUUUUGCAGGCCGUGUUUGGCAUUCUGUUUGAUAUUUGCCAAUGGUACCUCAUCUGUGUGAUCCAACAACCAUUUAAAUUUGUUAGAUCCAGUUUGUGGCCUUGUUCAAUUGUUUUUUUUUCAUCUUAAAAUCACCUAAAGUAAUGAAAUUAGGUUGGGGAGAGUGGAAAAGAAUGAGUUGCCAUUGGAACCAAAUUUUUUACAGCAGUAGGUAUGAGUCCACAAAGUUGUUGCCAAGUUAAGCAAAGAGGAACCACCUGUUGAGUUGAUGUUGGACCCUUGUAAUAGGCUUAACCGAAGCAAGCUGUCCAGUUAUUGUAGGUGGUGCACUUACAGUGCAAUAGCCACAAUGUUAUUGGGUAUGAAAGAGAAUGGUUCAUUUUAAGAUUAUAGGCCCUCGACAAUAUUUAUCAUCACUCCGUAAUAAUCGCCUUAUGUUUGUUUUAUAUUAUUAAUUAUUUCUACUAACCUUUAGUGGCCAAAGAAGUGUUUCCUCGUCACCCGACAAGCUGAGUAGAGGAGGGACAUUAGAGGAAGCUAAAUUAAUCGUAUAACUGCUAUACGUGCCCAAAAUUGGAGACGGAGGACUUGUGCCUUCUUGAAUCGCUUUCGGAGAAAAUGACGGGGGAGUUGGAAACUGUAAGUAGGAUGAAAGUUUUUCAAGUGGCACAUCGUCCUCUGUGCUUCCAGCGUUCAUGUUUCCUAAUCGCUGUUCCGUUAUUGCUGCGUUAUUAGAGAGCUUGAGCCACGUUUUUGAGCCACUUUGAAGUGGGUUGAAAGCGGAGUAAAGCUCAGUUACGCUUGACGUCCUUGGCUAGAAAACGUCACUAUCCUGUCACGUUGCAAAACAAGUACAGCGGAGGAAUAGUGAUAUUGAUUCAAACCCCCCUCCAAAUGUCUCCAUGAAUAGGGAAAAUUGUAAAGAUGAGAGAAUUGGCAAUAGGACAUAUUGUGUUGGGCAGAUAACUGUCAGACUGCAGACUACAGAAUUCUCUGCCGGAACGCUACCCGUGAGGGCCUACAGUGUACAACUAGCACUGACAAGAUCCCCUUAACGUGAGCAACUCUGAUGCAGAAGAAAACGUUCUGGAAGAGUAAGACCCUGAUUCCGAUGAAAAGUUAUUUUUGUCUGGGGUUGGAGUUGAAGACGAGGGUGUUUUUCCGCGCACAGUGACGACUCAAAAUGGUCUACAAAUUAGAGUCGUGGUUACGGUGGACUUUAAUAAAGCUAUGAAUUUUUGUUGACGUGAACUCAGUUCUGUUUAGUAUGAAACAACGGCAAGUAUUGUUACUUCCACACUGGAUAUAAGUUGUUUUCGGCCUCCCCCUUACAGUUAAUUAGACAAGGUCGACACUUCAGAGCAGCCCUACGAAAGUAGCUUUUGGCUGGAACGACGUGGAUAAUUCUAUACCUAUAGAAAACUUAAACUUUGUUGGAUGGACAUACGACACACGCGCGAGACCAUUUCCCUGAAUAAUAAAAAAACAAUCAAAACCAUCGUCUGAUGUAGAAAAUCAGUCAGGUACCGUUCCUGCGUCUUGCGUGACAAAUUUGUGACAGGGAUUUUUUUUAUUUCCGGUAACGACUUGCUUCCGUUUCUCAAGGUGCCCUUGGACGUGAGGCGCCUGGGAAUAAAAUUAAAUCACUGGAAUGUAGUUAGCGCCGAAUUGCCGACGAUUUACGACUCCGAAAGUUUCCUAUUCUUGCUGUGCAGGAAUUUUCUCUACUUCGUGUGUGUUUUGAGCGAAGAAUCAAGAUCUGGUUGAGUAAAGAUCACAUGCAGCCUAUAUUAAUUUCAUUCUCAGGCACCUCUCGCCCAAGGGCACUUUGAGAUAUGGAAACAAGUCUUAACCUGUAUUUCUUGCAUCUUGCGUGACAAAUUUGUGACAUGUAUUUCAGUGUAUGAUCCUUGUAGGAAAAUUGAAGAUUCGAUUCAAUCCGAAGAUCAAAUGCACGAAUUUCAUGUAUUCACAUCAUAUUUGUGAUACGUAAUACAUGAAGUUUACUGA